rnacentral:rRNA from 1 species
UACGGAGGGUGCAAGCGUUAUCCGGAUUUACUGGGUUUAAAGGGUGUGUAGGCGGGCUAUUAAGUCAGUGGUGAAAUCUCCGGGCUCAACCCGGAAACUGCCAUUGAUACUAUUAGUCUUGAAUUUUGUUGAGGUAGGCGGAAUAAGUCAUGUAGCGGUGAAAAUGCAUAGAUAUGACUUAGAACACCAAUUGCGAAGGCAGCUUACUAAGCAAAUAUUGACGCUGAGGCACGAAAGCGUGGGGAUCAAACAGG